rnacentral:piRNA from 1 species
UAAUAGAAAUGUGCAGGACUUAAGCUCU